GUGCUCGCUUUGGCAGCACAUAUACUAAAAUUAGAAUGACACAGAGAUGAUUAACAUGACCCCAGCACAAGAAUUAUAUGCAAAUUUGUGAAGCGCUCCAUAUUUAA